CGGGUGAGUAACGCGUGGGCAACCUGCCUCAUACAGGGGGAUAACAGUUAGAAAUGACUGCUAAUACCGCAUAAGACCGCGGUGCCGCAUGGCACAGCGGUAAAAACUCCGGUGGUAUGAGAUGGGCCCGCGUCUGAUUAGCUAGUUGGCGGGGUAACGGCCACCAAGGCGACGAUCAGUAGCCGACCUGAGAGGGCGACCGGCCACAUUGGGACUGAGACACGGCCCAAACUCCUACGGGAGGCAGCAGUGGGGAAUAUUGCACAAUGGGGGAAACCCUGAUGCAGCGACGCCGCGUGAGCGAUGAAGUAUUUCGGUAUGUAAAGCUCUAUCAGCAGGGAAGAAGAUGACGGUACCUGACUAAGAAGCCCCGGCUAACUACGUGCCAGCAGCCGCGGUAAUACGUAGGGGGCAAGCGUUAUCCGGAUUUACUGGGUGUAAAGGGAGCGUAGACGGCGAUGCAAGCCAGAUGUGAAAGCCCGGGGCUCAACCCCGGGACUGCAUUUGGAACUGUGUGGCUGGAGUGUCGGAGAGGCAGGCGGAAUUCCUAGUGUAGCGGUGAAAUGCGUAGAUAUUAGGAGGAACACCAGUGGCGAAGGCGGCCUGCUGGACGAUGACUGACGUUGAGGCUCGAAAGCGUGGGGAGCAAACAGGAUUAGAUACCCUGGUAGUCCCCGCCGUAAACGAUGACUGC
rnacentral:rRNA from 1 species